rnacentral:rRNA from 1 species
UACGGAGGGUGCAAGCGUUAUCCGGAUUCACUGGGUUUAAAGGGAGCGUAGGUGGGCGAGUAAGUCCGUGGUGAAAUCUCUGAGCUUAACUCGGAAACUGCCAUGGAUACUAUUGGUCUUGAAUAUUGUGGAGGUUAGCGGAAUAUGUCAUGUAGCGGUGAAAUGCAUAGAUAUGACAUAGAACACCAAUUGCGAAGGCAGCUAACUACGCAUAUAUUGACACUGAGGCUCGAAAGCGUGGGGAUCAAACAGG